CACUAGAAUCAGAGCGCUCCAUCAACGGCCUCUUCCCUUUUGAGUGUUCGUUGCCGAAAUCAUAUGCAAGAUCAUUACCAGGCAAUCGGAGGACGAGAGAGAGCAGAAUCGAAGGAAGUUUCUUGACUCGUCUCGGUGAUGAAAAACAGAGAAGAGAGCAGGACGACGAACUCUUAUGUCACAUUGAGUUUUGUUCCGAUAACAGAGAGGGGAAGAACAAGGCAGUUGCUCUUGAUGAAGUGAUUGCUUGGGCAACAGAAAAGCAGUUCGUCUUGUCAUUGAGGCUGGUUGGAUUUUCGCAUCUGCUAGGAAUACUGGUAGAAGAAAGAAUUUGAUCAGCUGAAGAGGAGAAUGACAAAGUCUAAGAAAUAAUUUGGUCUGCUGAAGAGGAAAAGGUUUAAGGUAACAUGGCUGUGGAGUACAAAGAUGCUGAGAAAGCUGUGGUUGUAGCAAAAGCAAAGAAACCCACUUCUGAUGAUGUCCCACGGGGUUGAGGUGCCUCACACAGCCGCAGGAAGAGAGCAUAAAAUAACAAAUCUUCUUUAGAAUGCCUUCUUCUUCAAGGUUUUGAUUCUUGGCCUCUUGGAAGUGAAGCUCUCUAUAAAUUUGGUGGGUUUAUAUAAGCCAAAACAAAGUCUCUAUUGACACAGCUUGAGCUUUUUACAAACACAGAUGGCUUCCACCAGAGCAUGUUUCGCUGCUUGGAAGAUUGUCUUCUUUGCUUUACUUCUCCUUGCCUUCAACGUUUCUGCAAGAACUCUUGUUGGAACUAAUGUAGUGGCUAGUAUAGCUGGUGAAAGGGCAGCGGAUGCAAAUGAUGGGAAGGGCACGAUGAGAUUAUUUAAUCAAGUGUUGGAUAGCGCUUGGAAGGGACACUAUAAUCCUCCCAACAAGUUCAACCACCAACCUUGAAUGUUUGUUUAUGUUCAUUCCAACAUAAUUGAAUUAUUCAAAUUUUGAUGGGAAGACAUCCAGGAGACCUCAUUCUAUGAUUGCACUCUUAACCUAAUUUAGUAAUCAGCCACUUGUUGAUAACGAUUCCAGCAAUUUCGUGCUCACACAAAGAUCCUCCAAGAGCAACCAAUAUGCGAAAUACAUGCCAAUGCCGGAAAAUUCAAGUAGCAAGUAGUUAGUAUAUUACAGACUGCAAAGCCAUGUUAAAUCAAAUAACGUGUAGACUUAAACAUUUAAAUUUUCGGUCUGUAAUCGUUAUUGAAUUAUAUACUAAAUAUUGAGGUGCUAUCAUCUCAACAAACUCAGACGAUUAUAGAAAUAUUCCACCUUCCAUUUGUAUAUUUGGUUACCUUUAGUUGGUAAGCUAUCUCUGUCACUUUGGUCAUGUGAGCUGCCUAGGUUGU